CGGAUCCUUCGGGAUUAGUGGCAGACGGGUGAGUAACGCGUGGGAAGCUACCUUGUGGUAGGGGACAACAGUUGGAAACGACUGCUAAUACCCUAUGAGCCCUAUGGGGGAAAGAUUUAUCGCCAUGAGAUGUGCCCGCGUUAGAUUAGCUAGUUGGUAAGGUAAUGGCUUACCAAGGCGACGAUCUAUAGCUGGUCUGAGAGGAUGAUCAGCCACACUGGGACUGAGACACGGCCCAGACUCCUACGGGAGGCAGCAGUGGGGAAUAUUGGACAAUGGGGGCAACCCUGAUCCAGCCAUGCCGCGUGUGUGAUGACGGCCUUAGGGUUGUAAAGCACUUUCAGCAGUGAAGAUAAUGACAUUAACUGCAGAAGAAGCCCCGGCUAACUUCGUGCCAGCAGCCGCGGUAAUACGAAGGGGGCUAGCGUUGUUCGGAAUCACUGGGCGUAAAGAGUACGUAGGCGGACUGAUAAGUUAGGGGUGAAAUCCCAAGGCUCAACCUUGGAACUGCCUUUGAUACUGUCAGUCUUGAGAUCGAGAGAGGUGAGUGGAACUCCGAGUGUAGAGGUGAAAUUCGUAGAUAUUCGGAAGAACACCAGUGGCGAAGGCGGCUCACUGGCUCGAUACUGACGCUGAGGUANNNAAGCGUNNGGAGCAAACAGGAUUAGAUACC
rnacentral:rRNA from 1 species